rnacentral:rRNA from 1 species
AGUGAACGCUGGCGGUAGGCCUAACACAUGCAAGUCGAACGGCAGCACAGUAAGAGCUUGCUCUUACGGGUGGCGAGUGGCGGACGGGUGAGGAAUACAUCGGAAUCUACUUUUUCGUGGGGGAUAACGUAGGGAAACUUACGCUAAUACCGCAUACGACCUACGGGUGAAAGCAGGGGAUCUUCGGACCUUGCGCGAUUGAGUGAGCCGAUGUCGGAUUAGCUAGUUGGGGGGGUAAAGGCCCACCAAGGCGACGAUCCGUAGCUGGUCCGAGAGGAUGAUCAGCCACACUGGAACUGAGACACGGUCCAGACUCCUACGGGAGGCAGCAGUGGGGAAUAUUGGACAAUGGGCGCAAGCCUGAUCCAGCCAUACCGCGUGGGUGAAGAAGGCCUUCGGGUUGUAAAGCCCUUUUGUUGGGAAAGAAAAGCAGCAGGUUAAUACCCCGCUGUUCUGACGGUACCCAAAGAAUAAGCACCGGCUAACUUCGUG